rnacentral:rRNA from 1 species
UACGUAGGGGGCAAGCGUUGUCCGGAUUUACUGGGCGUAAAGAGCUCGUAGGCGGCUUGUCGCGUCGGCUGUGAAAUCCCGUGGCUCAACUGCGGGUCUGCAGCCGAUACGGGCAGGCUAGAGUUCGGUAGGGGAGACUGGAAUUCCUGGUGUAGCGGUGAAAUGCGCAGAUAUCAGGAGGAACACCGGUGGCGAAGGCGGGUCUCUGGGCCGAUGACUGACGCUGAGGAGCGAAAGCGUGGGUAGCAAACAGG